GCAGUGGUAGCUGAGUGGUUAAAGCAUUAGACUAUUGAUCGAAAGGGACUUCAAAUCCCAGCUCCA